rnacentral:tRNA from 1 species
GGGUUUGUAGCUUAAUGGUAAAGCAGUAGAUUUUUAAUCUAUUGAGUGCGAGUUCGACUCUUGCCAGACCUA